GUAGGGUCCGAGCGUUAUCCGGAUUUAUUGGGCGUAAAGCGAGCGCAGGGCGGUUAGAUAAGUCUGAAGUUAAAGGGCUGUGGCUUAACCAUAGUACGCUUUGGAAAACUGUUUAACUUGAGUGCAAGAGGGGAGAGUGGAAUUCCAUGUGUAGCGGUGAAAUGCGUAGAUAUAUGGAGGAACACCGGUGGCGAAAGCGGCUCUCUGGCUUGUAACUGACGCUGAGGCUCGAAAGCGUGGGGAGCAAACAGGAUUAGAUACCCUGGUAGUCCACGCCGUAAACGAUGAGUGCUAGGUGUUAGACCCUUUCCGGGGUUUAGUGCCGUAGCUAACGCAUUAAGCACUCCGCCUGGGGAGUACGACCGCAAGGUUG
rnacentral:rRNA from 1 species